UCUUCAAACCCACUCAUUCAUUUUCCUUUUUUCCUUGAAAUUUCUUAUUACAAUAUAUAACAUACCGUUCUAGUUCUCUCUCUAUCUCUUUCAACUAACAACUCCUAAUUCUCAAUUCUCUCUUUGUUUGUUGAAGAUGAAGCCUUUUACGCUUUUCUCCUUCUCGCUUCUGAGUUUGGUGCUUUCCGUAGUCGCUGGUUUGGGCCAAGCCCAGCAACUCACUCCUUCCUCUUCUCCUGCUCCUGCUCCUUCAAGUGAUGCAGGCACUUCCCUUGAUCAAGGAAUUGCUUAUCUUCUUAUGCUGGUGGCGCUGGCAAUCACAUACAUGUUCCAUUGAUCUAUAGCUAAUUACUUACUUCUAAUGCAAUUAUUUUGGGGGAUGUUUCCCCUGAAGAUUCUUCAGUUGAGAAAAAUUUUGUAUUUUCUUUUUUCCAGAGCACUGUAAUUAUGAUUUAUGAAUGAAUUCUUCAUUGCUCUUCCGUUUA